GACACGGCCCAAACUCCUACGGGAGGCAGCAGUGGGGAAUCUUGCACAAUGGAGGAAACUCUGAUGCAGCGAUGCCGCGUGAGUGAAGAAGGCCCUUGGGUUGUAAAGCUCUUUCGUCGGGGAAGAAAAUGACUGUACCCGAAUAAGAAGGUCCGGCUAA
rnacentral:rRNA from 1 species